rnacentral:rRNA from 1 species
GUGUCAGCAGCCGCGGUAAUACGAAGGGGGCUAGCGUUGCUCGGAAUCACUGGGCGUGAAGGGUGCGUAGGCGGGUCUUUAAGUCAGGGGUGAAAUCCUGGAGCUCAACUCCAGAACUGCCUUUGAUACUGAGGAUCUUGAGUUCGGGAGAGGUGAGUGGAACUGCGAGUGUAGAGGUGAAAUUCGUAGAUAUUCGCAAGAACACCAGUGGCGAAGGCGGCUCACUGGCCCGAUACUGACGCUGAGGCACGAAAGCGUGGGGAGCAAACAGGAUUAGAAACCCUCGUAGUCC